rnacentral:rRNA from 1 species
UGGGGAAUAUUGGACAAUGGGCGAAAGCCUGAUCCAGCCAUGCCGCGUGUGUGAAGAAGGUCUUCGGAUUGUAAAGCACUUUAAGUUGGGAGGAAGGGCAGUAAGCGAAUACCUUGCUGUUUUGACGUUACUCGCAGAAUAAGCACCGGCUAACUCUGUGCCAGCAGCCGCGGUAAUACAGAGGGUGCAAGCGUUAAUCGGAAUUACUGGGCGUAAAGCGCGCGUAGGUGGUUCGUUAAGUUGAAUGUGAAAGCCCCGGGCUCAACCUGGGAACUGCAUCCAAAACUGGCGAGCUAGAGUAGGGCAGAGGGUGGUGGAAUUUCCUGUGUAGCGGUGAAAUGCGUAGAUAUAGGAAGGAACACCAGUGGCGAAGGCGACCACCUGGGCUCAUACUGACACUGAGGUGCGAAAGCGUGGGGAGCAAACAGG